rnacentral:tRNA from 1 species
UUGAUAGAAACCAAAAAGAGGUAUAUCACUGUUAAUGAUAAAAUUGAGUAAUUAACUCCUAUCAAG